GAAAGCCGGAUGCGUGGAGACAUGCCUGUCCGGUUUGGGUGGGGGCUCACUAAAACCUUAUUAGUAAAUAUAAAGGCGUAGUGUUUCUAUCCACAU
rnacentral:ncRNA from 1 species